UUAGCUCAUAUUUGUAUGGAAUGGGGUCGUUUGCGUGCGUUCGCCGCUAGGGGCGCUGUUCCAACUGCAUACAAAAUUGGGUUA
rnacentral:pre_miRNA from 1 species